AUUGAACGCUGGCGGCAGGCCUAACACAUGCAAGUCGAACGAGUGGCGGACGGGUGAGUAAUGUCUGGGAAACUGCCCGAUGGUGGGGGAUAACUACUGGAAACGGUAGCUAAUACCGCAUACCAUCGGAUGUGCCCAGAUGGGAUUAGCUAGUAGGUGGGGUAAUGGUUCACCUGUGCGACGAUCCCUAGCUGGUCUGAGAGGAUGACAAGCCACACUGGAACUGAGACACGGUCCAGACUCCUACGGGAGGCAGCAGCGGGGAAUAUUGCACAAGGGGCGCAAGCCUGAUGCAGCCAGGCCGCGUGUAUGAAGACGGCCUUCGGGUUGUAAAGUACUUUCAGCGAGGAGGCGUUACUCGCAGAAGAAGCACCGGCUAACUCCUUGCCAGCAGCCGCGGUAAUUC
rnacentral:rRNA from 1 species